GACGAACCGUGCGAACGUUGUUCGGAAUCACUGGGCUUAAAGGGCGCGUAGGCGGCUCGCGAGGUCGGGGGUGAAAUCCUACGGCUUAACCGUAGAAGUGCCUUCGAUACCGGCGGGCUCGAGGAAGGUAGGGGUGCGCGGAACUUCUGGUGGAGCGGUGAAAUGCGUUGAUAUCAGAAGGAACGCCGGCGGCGAAAGCGGCGCACUGGACCUUUUCUGACGCUGAGGCGCGAAAGCCAGGGGAGCAAACGGG
rnacentral:rRNA from 1 species